UGCCCCUGGAUCACAAACAAGGUACCUUAU
rnacentral:misc_RNA from 1 species